CGAGGCGUAGCGCAGUCCGGUAGCGCGCAUGGUUCGGGACCAUGAGGUCGCAAGUUCAAGUCUUGUCGCCUCGACCA
rnacentral:tRNA from 2 species